rnacentral:rRNA from 1 species
AGCGAACGUUAGCGGCGGGCCUAACACAUGCAAGUCGAGCGAGAAAGUGGCUUCGGCCAUCAGUAAAGCGGCGGACGGGUGAGUAACACGUAGGUAAUUUUCCCUUGAGCGGGGGACAACGUUCCGAAAGGGACGCUAAUACCGCAUACGUUUCCGAGGGGUUCGCCCUUUGGAAGGAAAGCUAGGCCGCAAGGUCCGGCACUCGAGGAGAAGCCUGCGUAGCAUCAGCUAGUUGGUGAGGUAAUGGCUCACCAAGGCGAAGAACGCUUAGCUGGUCUGAGAGGAUGAUCAGCCACACUGGGACUGAGACACGGCCCAGACUCCUACGGGAGGCAGCAGUGGGGAAUAUUGGACAAUGGGCGCAAGCCUGAUCCAGCCAUGCCGCGUGGAUGAUGAAGGCCCUAGGGUUGUAAAGU